GAACUCCCAGCCUGGAAGAAGAAGGAGGACAAGAUCAGGAUUGCUCCUUGUGACCAGACUGCCAAUAGCUCAGGCUUAGCUGCAAAACGAAGUCACACUUUGACCCCAGUGGCACUUGAACAGUUGAUUUUUGCCUCGACGAGACAUUCUGCAAACAUGCUAAGGCUACAAAAUGUCCAAGUUGACAAAGACAUGCAACGCUGACCAUUCAAUAAGUCACGGCUAUUAUAGGAGCGACCAUGCCCACCUGGGCCACAGGUCCCAUAAAACAGGGAUGGUGUACAGUGAUCAUGGCAACGUACUACACAGGACCUAGUAACCUGAGGUAGGUCUCUUCACAGUAAGAAAACAACAUCCUACACCAGUGUUACAUCCUGAUCAGCAGGAACCUGUUUAAAGCUCCAGAAGAUGUGGGGUGGGGGACUGUUUCCUUAACAAGUGUGCAAUAAA